rnacentral:rRNA from 1 species
UACGAAGGGGGCUAGCGUUGCUCGGAAUCACUGGGCGUAAAGGGUGCGUAGGCGGCCUGUCAAGUCAAUUGUGAAAUCUCCGGGCUUAACUCGGAACGGUCAAUUGAUACUGUCAGGCUAGAGUGCAGAAGGGGCAAUCGGAAUUCUUGGUGUAGCGGUGAAAUGCGUAGAUAUCAAGAGGAACACCUGAGGUGAAGACGGGUUGCUGGGCUGACACUGACGCUGAGGCGCGAAAGCCAGGGGAGCAAACGGG